rnacentral:rRNA from 1 species
UGGGGAAUAUUGCACAAUGGGGGAAACCCUGAUGCAGCGACGCCGCGUGAGCGAAGAAGUAUUUCGGUAUGUAAAGCUCUAUCAGCAGGGAAGAAGAAUGACGGUACCUGACUAAGAAGCACCGGCUAAAUACGUGCCAGCAGCCGCGGUAAUACGUAUGGUGCAAGCGUUAUCCGGGUUUACUGGGUGUAAAGGGAGCGCAGGCGGUGCGGCAAGUCUGAUGUGAAAGCCCGGGGCUCAACCCCGGUACUGCAUUGGAAACUGUCGUACUAGAGUGUCGGAGGGGUAAGUGGAAUUCCUAGUGUAGCGGUGAAAUGCGUAGAUAUUAGGAGGAACACCAGUGGCGAAGGCGGCUUAC